GUCUCCAGCCAUACCACCCUGAACACGCCCGAUCUCCUCUGAUCUCGGAAGCUAAGCAGGGUCAGGCCUGGUUAGUACUUGGAUGGGAGAGUGAGAGAGAGAGAGAGAAUGAAAGAGAAG
rnacentral:rRNA from 1 species